GCCCCCGUAGUUCAAUGGAAAGAAUAGGGGACUUCUAAGCCCUAGAUGUAGGUUCGAUUCCUACCGGGGGCG
rnacentral:tRNA from 1 species